rnacentral:rRNA from 1 species
GUAGGGUGCGAGCGUUAUCCGGAAUUAUUGGGCGUAAAGAGCUCGUAGGCGGUUUGUCGCGUCUGUCGUGAAAGUCCGGGGCUUAACCCCGGAUCUGCGGUGGGUACGGGCAGACUAGAGUGCAGUAGGGGAGACUGGAAUUCCUGGUGUAGCGGUGGAAUGCGCAGAUAUCAGGAGGAACACCGAUGGCGAAGGCAGGUCUCUGGGCUGUAACUGACGCUGAGGAGCGAAAGCAUGGGGAGCGAACAGGAUUAGAUACCCUGGUAGUCCAUGCCGUAAACGUCGGGCACUAGGUGUGGGGACCAUUCCACGGUUUCCCGCGCCGCAGCUAACGCAUUAAGUGCCCCCGCCUGGGGAGUACGGCCGCAAGGCUA